GCCCAAUGUCCAAGGAGGGGAAGGGAGCUGGAGAUUGAGUUCGUGGUCAAUGAUUUGAUGAAUCAUGUAUAUGUAAUAAAACCCCCAAAAACCUCCGGAAACCAAAACUUGGGUACAAAAUAAUAGACAUUCAUACAAACUUACACAGUACAAAUGUGUCUUUGGAGUAAAAUGUGAAAGUCUGCCCCUCCAAAGAGAGCAUCCAGAAGCAGUACUGUUAUCAUUUUGGUCCCUGGAAGAGAGAGAUAUUCAAAGAAGACUAAGAAAAACAUCAUUUUAUUAUUAACUGGGCAUCAGCCACAACACCAGUGCGGUAACCCCUGAACUCAUCUCCCCAUCCAUGGCCUCCCUUUGCUUGAUCCAAUGGAGGCCUAGAGCCCAGAAGCAAAGCAGGCAGAAGACAAGCCACGCUACAUUUGUAAGAGUACAUUAGAGGAUCAAGACUUAGUACUUUAAGAGUACAAAAAGAUACCUCUGCCCAAACAAAGGAAAUAGAGCUGGAGCAGAGCUUUAUAUAGGUUUAUUUGCACUUCCAGUGUUUCAUCCAUUAGAAAACAUGGCUGACCAGUGUCUUGAUAUUUAUCAGAUUAGUGCUCUCCCCUCUUGGAAGAAGGGUUUCUUGCCCUUGACACUCAUUCAUCUUUGAGUAAGAAAGAGGAGAAAGAAGAAGGAAGAAGAAAGGAUUUCCAUUCCUCAGAUGAUUCAGGUUAAAAACAAACAAACAAAAAGGACAUAAUCUAUUAAAAAUCUAAAGGAACAAUUGGAAAGAGAUAGAAAUUAAUCUUCAACUAUUUUUUUAAACUUUGGGGGUUUGUCAAAAUAAAGGCCAUAUUUUUUCCAACCACUUCUAGGUUUCUCAAACCAUCUGUGUUUCAAGGAGAAUUUAGUUCAUGUGUUUUCAGUUAAUUUACACAACUCAUCAAAAUGUUGACUUGUUAUUCUAGCUAUUUGAUGUCUCAGAAAUCAUGCACACAUUUUAAUAUAUGUUCAAAAGUCUUUGCUCCAUUUGGAUAAGGAAGUCAUCAUUAGCUUGCAGUAAACAGAACCUGGAAGAGCUUAAGUCUGAUUCCAAAAGGAGAACUAAGGAAAUUCCAAGGGGUUUGAAACUUGGCAAAUCACUUUCCACACACAUGGUUACAAAAUCUUUAAAGUGAUAAACACAAGGGAUGACCAAAAAAACAUCAAAAUCAUCACAAGCAUAAAUAGAGUUUCUACAAUAUGAAGAUGUUUAGUCAGGGGAUUUGCAAUAUAUGUCAUAUUAACUCUAUGUGCCUUAAAUGAAAGAACUUCAAGGUCAACAUAAACAGCCCCACAUUGGCCCAUGUGAACCAAACAUUGUGCAGAAGGCAAUAGGCUAAUUUUUCCACAAAAAAGGACAAAGAAUAUUCUUCUGAAUUUUGAUGACCCAAAGACCUUCUUUCAAGUAAAAUGUAUUAAACAUGUGUCUAUUAAAAAGCUCCUGUAUAUUCGUAUGAGUAGGCUGGAAAUAAUUUUUCUUUUCUCCUAGAUGGAUAUGUUUCUAGACCAGAAUACUUGAGUAAAAGUUAUCAUGGAUUAAUGUUUGAUUGUGUAGUUUUACACCUGACUAAACCUUCAGUUAAAUCUGAACCAAUUUUCAUGGUAUUUACACACACAGUUUUAGAGCUGUUUGAGGCAGGAACCGGCCUUUUGUGACUGAAGACAGGAAGAGGUUCAGAGACUACAAACCACAGAAAGUGUUCUGGGGCAAAAUCGCUUGCAAGUAUGAAGGAAACCAAUUCAUGUCCAAGAAUGGACUGUAGAAUGAAGCAGAAGAUUCAAGAUUCAGAGAAGCAGGUCAAUAGGAAUAUGAAAUAGAAAUGGAUCAAUAGGAACAGAAAAUCGAAGCGGAUCAAUAGGAACACGAAGCUGGAGGGAUUGGAGCAGCCGAGAGGUCAGGGAAAUGUUCUGGGGUAGUGUGGGGAGUGGAGAGGGCAGAGACAGAACCAGAGGUAGAACAAGGGCUGCUUUGGGACAAUUCUCUUGAUCACUGAGCUCCUUGAGUGGUUUGGCUUGCUUUACUGUUCAGGAAUAAAUUCAUAAAUAAGAGAAGUAUCAAGGGCAGAAGGAAACAUAACAAUCAUCUCAUUCAACUUUGUAAAUUCUAACCCUUCAUUUUUAUAAUUGCGGAUUUUGUUGCUCAGACUGGAUGGGUAACAUUUUAACCUAGCUGUACCCCAGCUGGUGUCAGAGCUGAGAGGAACAGUGGUAGUGCCUCUCCU